rnacentral:lncRNA from 1 species
CCAACAUUUUAGGAAUUAGGGGCCAAAAAGGGCCCAAAUAAGCAUUUUCUUGGUUUUCGCACAAUAACUUUAGUUUAAGUAAAUAGAAAUCAAUGAAAUUUAAACACAAUGUUAAUGACUACAAAAGGAAGGUUGGUAUUGAUUUUGGGAGUUUAGGUCCCAACAGUUUAGGAAUAAGGGGCCAAAAAAGGACCCAAAUAAGCAUUUUUCUUGGUUUUCGGACCAUAACGUUAGUAUAAGUAAAUAGAAAUCUAUGAAAUUUAAACACAAGGUUUAUG